AGAGAGAGACAUGCGCGCAUAUCAAUAAGCGGAGGAAAAGAAACUAACAAGGAUUCCCUUAGUAACGGCGAGCGAAGCGGGAAGAGCUCAAAUUUGAAAUCUUCAAGGUUUUACCUUGACGAAUUGUAGUUUAAAGAAGUGUUUUCUGCUGAAGUUUUGGUAAAAGUUCUUUGGAAUAGGACAUCAUAGAGGGUGAGAAUCCCGUAUUUGACCAUUAUUUUCAGCUUUGUGAUACACUUUCAAAGAGUCGGAUUGUUUGGGAAUGCAGUCCAAAAUGGGUGGUAAAUUUCAUCUAAAGCUAAAUAUUGGCGAGAGACCGAUAGCGAACAAGUACCGUGAGGGAAGGAUGAAAAGAACUUUGAAAAGAGAGUUAAACAGUACGUGAAAUUGUCAAAAGGGAAGCGUUUGACACCAGUGUUGUUUUCUCGAAAAUCAAUUAAAAAUGGCUCGAUUUUGUAUUGCUUGAGACCUUAAAAGCUCACUGUACAUUUUUCGUGUCUUUUUUAAUGCACUUUUCGUUUAACAAGUCAACAUCAGUUUCUUUUGUUGUAAAAGGGUCAUUGGAAGGUGGCUUUCUUUUCGGAGAAAGUGUUUAUAGCCUUUGGCCUCUGCAAUCGAAGAGACUGAGGUCUGCAGCGUAGACUCUUCGGGGUUAGAUACAUUUGUGCUAAGUUAUAGCUUUUUAUAGACAACUUGUUGACUAUAAUUAGUCUUGUAGCUUACUCGCUUAUGCUAUUUUACCUACGCUUAGGAUGUUGAGUCGUAGAGCACGCAG
rnacentral:rRNA from 1 species